rnacentral:misc_RNA from 1 species
UUCCAAGUACAUAGACCUACGGGAAGUUAGCAGAUCAUUUUCACUUCCAGCGGAUCACUUCCCCCUGACCUAAAUCCAUGAAACUAUUCUCGAAACGUAUCUAGAACAGUGGAACUCGGUGGCUUGCGCAAAGAACUCCUUGUAUAUUUCUUGAUCUGCCAAGAAUUGAUACGCUAACUUCACGAACGCAAUGUCGGGCGCCUACCUACCUCUUCCGGAUCGAGCCCGAUGAUCCUCAGAUCCGAAUACAACAUGGUCGUGUCCCGAUACUCCGAAUACGAACAGUAGUCAGCCUUGGCUAUACUCGUCCCUGUACAUCGAGGCCCUGUACGCCUGCGGCCUGUUACCCCUGUCGACGUUGGAGAGGGCGCACCUACCCCGCGUAUCUCCGAUCCGCAAGUCUUCCGCGGUACGAUAACGGGCGGACCUGCAAUUUCUUCCUACGUUCGGAUAACGAUUAAACGGAGGUGCAGCCGAAUCGAAUCAAACGAAAUUAAUUCCGAAAA